GUCAGUAUCUGGACCUUGAGCUCCGCUUACUAUGCUAUGCUGUGAUUGACAUCUACAAGCAACAAGAACUUUGUCAAUGUCUCAACAUACGUAUAUGGAUGUAACAGUGUAACCAGAACUGCUUACAGACGUUGCACUGUCUGACACUGUCUGAUGAUGUGUUUUCCUGACAGGGACGAGUUCUAACAAUGCAGUGAGAUAUGAAAAACAUCUCAAGAACCUGGGAUAAAAUCAGCGUGACCUCAGCUUCAGCACAUGACCCAAACCAUCACCUCAUCAAUCAUCAGCCUAGUCCUGUUCUACUGUCUGUCCUCCACCACACCUGAAACCGGAUCAGAUCUGACCCUGUGACCAAAAAAAACAGCUGCUACCUCCUCUUUACAAAGCCCCACGAUGCAGCCUCGCCUCACUCCGGAAGAACUCUGGGAGACCAAAGAAAACAACCAAAAAAUAAAGCAUCUUUGUGUCUUCAUCUGGUCUGUUCAAAAAGAAAUAGAAAGUGUGGAUCAUCAAGCUGGUGACUGAAGGUAGAGUGAACACCAAAGCUGUUCAUCAUGUUUCUGUAAAAUGAAAACGCAAUCCCUUUUUCAU